GUGGGGAAUAUUGGACAAUGGGGGCAACCCUGAUCCAGCCAUGCCGCGUGUGUGAAGAAGGCCUUUUGGUUGUAAAGCACUUUAAGUGGGGAGGAGGCUUACCUGGUUAAUACCUAGGCUAAGUGGACGUUACCCACAGAAUAAGCACCGGCUAACUCUGUGCCAGCAGCCGCGGUAAUACAGAGGGUGCGAGCGUUAAUCGGAUUUACUGGGCGUAAAGCGCGCGUAGGUGGCCAAUUAAGUCAAAUGUGAAAUCCCCAAGCUUAACUUGGGAAUUGCAUUCGAUACUGGUUGGCUAGAGUAUGGGAGAGGAUGGUAGAAUUCCAGGUGUAGCGGUGAAAUGCGUAGAGAUCUGGAGGAAUACCGAUGGCGAAGGCAGCCAUCUGGCCUAAUACUGACACUGAGGUGCGAAAGCAUGGGGAGCAAACAGGAUUAGAUACCCGAGUAGUCC
rnacentral:rRNA from 1 species